ACUGAACGCUGGCGGAAUGCUUUACACAUGCAAGUCGAACGGCAGCACGGACUUCGGUCUGGUGGCGAGUGGCGAACGGGUGAGUAAUGUAUCGGAACGUGCCCAGUCGUGGGGGGUAACGUAGUGAAAAUUACGCUAAGACUGCAUACGAUCUGUGGAUGAAAGCGGGGGAUCGCAAGAACUCGCGCGAUUGGAGCGGCCGAUAUCAGAUGAGGUAGGUGGUGGGGUAAAGGCCCACCAAGCCAACGAUAUGAAGCUGGUCGGAGAGGCACGACCAGCCAAGCUGGAACUGAGACAAGGUCCAGACUCCUACGGGAGGAAGCAGUGGGGAAUUUUGGACAAUGGGCGAAAGCCUGAUCCAGCCAUUCCGCGUGCAGGAUGAAGGCCCUCGGGUUGUAAACUGCUUUUGUACAGAACGAAAAGGUUUCUACUAAUACUAGGAGCUCAUGACGGUACUGUAAGAAUAAGCACCGGCUAACUACGUGCCAGCCGCCGCCGUAACAC
rnacentral:rRNA from 1 species